GUUUGACCUCAAAUCAGGUAGGAUUACCCGCUGAACUUAAGCAUAUCAAUAAGCGGAGGAAAAGAAACCAACAGGGAUUGCCUUAGUAACGGCGAGUGAAGCGGCAAAAGCUCAAAUUUGAAAUCUGGCACCUUCGGUGUCCGAGUUGUAAUUUGAAGAAGGUAACCUUGGGGUUGGCUCUUGUCUAUGUUUCUUGGAACAGAACGUCACAGAGGGUGAGAAUCCCGUGCGAUGAGAUGCCCAAUUCUAAUGUAGGUGCUUUCGAAGAGUCGAGUGUUUGGGAAUGCAGCUCUAAGUGGGUGGUAAAUUCCAUCUAAAGCUAA
rnacentral:rRNA from 1 species